CCUACGGGAGGCAGCAGUGGGGAAUCUUGCGCAAUGGGCGAAAGCCUGACGCAGCAACGCCGCGUGCGGGAAGAAGGCCUUCGGGUUGUAAACCGCUUUCAGCAGGAACGAAAAUGACGGUACCUGCAGAAGAAGGUGCGGCCAACUAUGUGCCAGCAGCCGCGGUGAUACAUAGGCACCAAGCGUUGUCCGGAUUUAUUGGGCGUAAAGAGCUCGUAGGCGGUUCAGUCAGUCGGGUGUGAAAACUCUGGGCUUAACCCAGAGCCUGCACCCGAUACUGCUGUGACUAGAGUUCGGUAGGGGAGCGGGGAAUUCCUGGUGUAGCGGUGAAAUGCGCAGAUAUCAGGAGGAACACCGAUGGCGAAGGCACCGCUCUGGGCCGAAACUGACGCUGAGGAGCGAAAGCAUGGGUAGCAAACAGGAUUAGAUACCCUGGUAGUCCAUGCCGUAAACGUUGGGCACUAGGUGUGGGUUCCAAUCAACGGAAUCCGCGCCGUCGCUAACGCAUUAAGUGCCCCGCCUGGGGAGUACGGUCGCAAGACUAAAACUCAAAGGAAUUGACGG
rnacentral:rRNA from 1 species